GCAUCACGACAGGGGCGUCCGCAAUCGCGGGCUGAGAAGCACCCUUUGAACCUGAACCAGAUCAUGCUGGCGUAGGGAGUCCGUGAAUGGCCAAGC
rfam:Loktanella vestfoldensis strain SMR4r, complete genome.